rnacentral:tRNA from 1 species
UCCUGGUUAGCUCAGUUGAUAGAGCGCUCCGCAGGAUAUGGAGAGGUUCCUAGUUCGAUACUAGGACCAGUCG